rnacentral:misc_RNA from 1 species
GAUGAAGAACGUAGUGAAAUGCGAUAAGUAAUGCGAAUUGCAGAAUUCAGUGAGUCAUCGAGUCUUUGAACGCACAUUGCGCCCCCUGGUAUUCCGGGGGGCAUGCCUGUCCGAGCGUCAUUGCUGCCCUCAAGCACGGCUUGUGUGUUGGGCCUCCGUCCUCCUCCCGGGGGACGGGCCCGAAAGGCAGCGGCGGCACCGCGUCCGGUCCUCGAGCGUAUGGGGCUUCGUCACCCGCUCUUGUAGGCCCGGCCGGCGCUUGCCGACACAUCAAUCUUUUUUCCAGGUUGACCUCGGAUCAGGUAGGGAUACCCGCUGAACUUAAGCAUAUCAAUAAGCGGAGGA